AUGCUCAGGGACAAAGCUUCCUCUUGCCUGCCGGGAGCCCCAGCCAGUGGGCAGGGCCUUCCUGGCACCUCUCAUGUCCUGCCUGGCCUGUGCUUAGUGCCUGGGAGUGUUGGCGACCCCGACGUCGCCUCCAGUGGUGGCUUCAGUGGCCCCGGUGGGCUGGGUCCUGGUGCAGCAUGGCGGGGGGCGGCGCCUGUCCCAUCCCUCCCCACUGGGACUCCUUGUCUGGAAUCUGCCCCUUUGGAGAUGGGCCUGUGGUGUGAUGGCCCCAAGUGUCCCCAAAGCAUGCAUCCCCCGACAUACACAGCAUCUUCCCGAGCCCCAGUGCAGGGCAGGAUGGAAGCUGCACCUCCACCGCCACAGACCAGGGUCUGCACAAGAUGCCCGGGGCCCAGCUCGGGGGCACCACCAGGAUCCAAGCCCUCAGGCAGCCCCUGUCCCGCUGGCUCCUCAAGCUGCCCUUUGGGGGCUGUUAACCCCGCUGCAGAAGAAGAGCCCAAGUCUGUGUCCUCCAAGGGCCGUGACGCUCACUUAGGCUUCUGGGAUACUCUCAAGAGCUGGCUCUGGCUGGGAGGGCCAGGGCCUCCAUUAGCUGCCCCCAGGCUCCCAGGCAGAGGGGCAGUGAGACUCUCAGCGUGGCUCAAGGGGCUUCAGAGCCCGGGCCCACGUGGACUGUGGCUGAAUGCUGCUCCCCGGGAGCACCCAAGACACCACCUGGUAGGCAGUGGUGAGGGUCUACCCAGGACCUCAUCAGUGAGCUCCCAACUCUGCCCACUUCCCUCACUGGGCGGUACUGACGGGCUGGGUCAUCCCCCUGGGAGCGGCCUGCCCAGCAGUACAGCCUCCUCUGCCCACGUGGCCAGCCGGGCUCUUCCCUGCCCAAGGCCACAGGCGACGGAGGCUGCAGUGACUCACUGCCAGAGGCUCUAUACUCCCCGGGCGAACAGGAAGCCCGAGUCCUGCCCGCCCACCUGCUCGCUCACAGCCUGCCAGGGGUUGGCAGCAGCACCCGCUCCCCUCACAGAGACUGCCCCGGGGUGGAAACAGGGAGGGCGUGAGGGGUGCCGGUCUGUGCUGAGCCCCCACAGUGCACCUGCCCUGUGCUGGUGGUUGGGUCUCCCUGCCCCCCAGCCUCUUUCUCGGUGCAGAGACAGGCCAAGUGGCACUUCCACCUUACCCAGACCUGAGACGCCGCCAUGGCAAAGGCCACCACGCUGGUCCCUCAGGGGCCCGGGCGGAACCUCUGCUGCCAUGUCCGGGCAUACCAGCCCUUCCAUCCGCAGCCCAGGACCCCAUCCCAGCGUCCCCUUCCCUCCACCUAAGGGCUCUCUUGCCCAGAGCUGGCAGGCAGGUCUUGCUGGACUCAACCCUCUCAGACCUGGGCCCCCGUGGCCUCCAGACCCCCACCUGCGCUCCGUUCCGCAUUCAGAUAAGCACAUCCUCCCACCUCACAUGGCCCCUGUGAGUCACUGCGGUACACAUGAAGGGGGUCCCACCAGGCCAGGCAGACGACCCCCCUGUCUCCACUCCAGGAGGGGGAAGGCACAGGCACUAGGGAUGAGGAGGAAGAUAAUGAGAGAUGGGGUGGGUUCUAAUGGCAGGUAG
ensembl:lncRNA